GAAAUGCGAUAAGUAAUGUGAAUUGCAGAAUUCAGUGAAUCAUCGAAUCUUUGAACGCACCUUGCGCUCCUUGGUAUUCCUUGGAGCAUGCCUGUUUGAGUAUCAUGAAAUCUUCAAAGUAAAUCUUUUGUUAACUCGAUUGGUUUCUACUUUGGUAUUGGAGGUCUUUGCAGCUUCACACCUGCUCCUCUUUGUUCAUUAGCUGGAUCUCAGUGUUAUGCUUGGUUCCACUCGGCGUGAUAAGUUAUCUAUCGCUGAGGACACUGUAAAAGGUGGCCAAGGUAAAUGCAGAUGAACCGCUUCUAAUAGUCCAUUGACUUGGACAAUACUUUUAUGAUCUGAUCUCAAAUCAGGUAGGACUACCCGCUGAACUUAAGC
rnacentral:misc_RNA from 1 species